rnacentral:Y_RNA from 1 species
GGCUGGUCUGAAGGUGGCGAGUUAUCUCAAUUGUUCACAGUCAGUUACAGCUUGAACUCCUUAUUCUACUCUCUCCCCUUUUCUCACUAUUGCACUUGACUGGUCUUAA